GUGUCAUAAUAAAGGUUACCAAAGUUGAAACUCAGUUGUUAGAAAUUUCAUGGGAAAAUAAAUUAAGAAGAGAGUUUCGUCUCAGUGAACGCUGAACAGAGUUAAAAAUAAUUGCCCAAUUAUUGAGCAUAUGGUCUGAAUAUAAAGCAGCACGUUCCUCCCAAGGGAGUUUGGUCUGAGGUAACAGGGUUAAAAAUAAUUGCCCGAUUAGUGAGCACAUGGUUUGAACUUUGAAUAUAAAGCAGCACAUUCCUCCCAAAGGAGUUUGGUCUGAGGCAGGCUGAAGCAUAGUUUAUUAGUCAGGGUGCAAAAGCCGAUGUACAUUACCAAACAUAAAUUCAUUCAUACGACCAUAUAUAAUACUGUGGUCGGUCAACCUUUCAACUCGGAAGGUACCAUGAAAGUUUAGAAGACCGUCAACUAUUAUCUUAGACGGUGUUGCUGUUCUGGAGAAAUCUCAUUCGAGUUUGUAUGACUUGGGAGUUUUGAGUAUAAACCCAGCAGUCGACCUAUCUAGAGGAGAGAGGAGAAGAGAAAGAUUGAGAUCGAGAUUAUAUGAAAAAGAAACAAGGAGGACAAGUAAAAAAGGAAUAUACAGCUGGUGAGGUGUGGUGUGGUGAGGAGAUGAAAUAGUGAAGGGGCUGAGCAAGGAAAAGACGUUCUUUGCCUCUUUAGUAUUCAUGUGUUCGAACAAGCUGCGUUUUCAGGCAACUUCUAUCUUUAUGACAACUCAUGGGUUGUCGAGUUGUCGAUAUGGUAACUAUAAAACUCAGAGCAUAAUGAAUUCUUGUUUGA